UGGAGCUCCUUGAAGUCCAACAAAAAAUCUAACAGGUUAAAUUGAGCUGCUGACCUAUGGAUUCCUCAGCCCUAUCUAUUUAUGAUUUCAAACAUAUAGAUAGGUUUUGGGUUUGCAUAUGUCAGGAGCUUUAUUUUACCCUUUGUUUGAUCAUUUUUUGGAUUGAAGGGAGCUCUA
rnacentral:pre_miRNA from 1 species